ACGUUUUUUUCAUAGAGAUUUAGAUUUAAGGUUAGAAGAAUUGUGGAAGUCGUGAGACUUCCCUUUUUUUCAUCUUAACGUUUACUAUUCUUCAUUAUAGGAAUGCAAAGACACUUUUGUUAGUGGUCAAUCUCAAUUAAUUAUUGCAGGAUGAUGAUGCAGAGUAAGUAAACCUAAAAAGCCUUCUUCGUGAGAAGAGGCUUUUUU
rnacentral:sRNA from 1 species